AGUGAACUUCGUUUGAAGUGGAAAUCCUUUUUUAUCUCGUUUUUUAACGAGAUAAAAAAGAUUGCAACGGAAAGCCUGACCGCGC
rnacentral:sRNA from 1 species